GAUGAACGCUGGCGGCGUGCCUAAUACAUGCAAGUCGAGCGAACAGACGAGGAGCUUGCUCCUCUGACGUUAGCGGCGGACGGGUGAGUAACACGUGGAUAACCUACCUAUAAGACUGGGAUAACUUCGGGAAACCGGAGCUAAUACCGGAUAAUAUAUUGAACCGCAUGGUUCAAUAGUGAAAGACGGUUUUGCUGUCACUUAUAGAUGGAUCCGCGCCGCAUUAGCUAGUUGGUAAGGUAACGGCUUACCAAGGCAACGAUGCGUAGCCGACCUGAGAGAGUGAUCGGCCACACUGUAGCUGAGACACGGUCCAGACUCCUACGGGAGGCAGCAGUAGGGAAUCUUCCGCAAUGGGCGAAAGCCUGACGGAGCAACGCCGCGUGAAUGAUGAAGGUCUUCGGAUCGUAAAACUCUGUUAUUAGGGAAGAACAAAUGUGUAAGUAACUAUGCACGUCUUGACGGUACCUAAUCAGAAAGCCACGGCUAACUACGUG
rnacentral:rRNA from 1 species